rnacentral:rRNA from 1 species
CCUACGGGAGGCAGCAGUGGGGAAUCUUGGGCAAUGGGCGCAAGCCUGACCCAGCAACGCCGCGUGAAGGAAGAAGGCUUUCGGGUUGUAAACUUCUUUUCUCAGGGACGAAGCAAGUGACGGUACCUGAGCAAUAAGCCACGGCUAACUACGUGCCAGCAGCCGCGGCAAUACGUAGGUGGCAAGCGUUAUUCGGAUUUACUGGGGGUAAAGGGCGUGUAGGCGGGAAAGCAAGUCAGAUGUGAAAACCAUGGGCUCAACCUGUGGCCUGCAUUUGAUACUGUUUUUCUUGAGUAAUGGAGAGGCAGACGGAAUUCCUGGUGUAGCAGUGAAAUGCGUAGAUAUUGGGAGGAACACCAGUGGCGAAGGCGGGCUGCUGGACAGCAACUGACGCUGAGGCGCGAAGGCGAGGGGAGCAAAAAGGAUUAGAUACCCCGGUAGUC